AUUGAACGCUGGCGGCAGGCCUAACACAUGCAAGUCGAACGAGUGGCGGACGGGUGAGUAAUGUCUGGGAAACUGCCCGAUGGAGGGGGAUAACUACUGGAAACGGUAGCUAAUCCCGCAUAACAUCAGCUGUGCCCAGAUGGGAUUAGCUGGUCGGUGGGGUAACGGCUCACCUAGGCGACGAUCCCUAGCGGGGCUGAGAGGAUGACCAGCCAAAAUGGAACUGAGACACGGUCCAGAGUCCUACGGGAGGCAGCAGUGGGGAAUAUUGCACAAUGGGCGCAAGCCUGAUGCAGCCAUGCCGCGUGUGUGAAGAAGGCCUUCGGGUGGUAAAGCACUUUCAGCGGGGAGGCGUUACCCGCAGAAGAAGCACCGGCGAACUCCGUGCCAGCAGCCGCGGUAAUAC
rnacentral:rRNA from 1 species